AACAGAAAAUACUCAUAUUAAACAGUUCAAUCAUAGAACAGUUCAUACAUCGCACAUUUGCACAUAGACAAAACUUCUCAAGUUCAACAUCUGAGAAGUUUAAGAAACUAGCAUUCAUAUAAAAUAAAUGAAGUCAGGAAACUUGCCUGACGCACAACUACAACUUACACUGAACUUCUCAUUCCAAUCCCUAUAUAGCACAUAAGGAAAUAACACAUAC
rnacentral:lncRNA from 1 species